ensembl:lncRNA
CCCCACCCCUUUGCCAGCUCCCCUCCGCUGACCCGCUGCCGUUGCAGGUGCACAGCCUGGCGCUGCGCCCCGCCGGCCCCCACCUCCCCGCCCUCGCCAUGAAGCCCCCCGGCGGCCCCCCCCGGGCCGGCCCCCCCCGGGUCCCCCUACCCGAGACCCCCGGCGACCACCUCAAAAAGGCCGAGGGCCCCGAGGCCCGCACCCACCCCCUGGCCCGCGCCGCCGCCCCCGCAGCCGCCCACCCGCUCGUCGCCCCAGGUAAGGUGCUGCACCGUGGGGGGUGGCGGGGGCGUGGGGCACCCGUUGGGUGCUGGGGGUGGGGGGCACCCAGUGAGAGGCGCAGGAAGGGAGGCUGCGGGGCGUUCACCGUGGAGACUGAUGGUGGGCCCUGUAGGGCCUGCGCGGGACCUGCAGCCCUUCUGGAAGUCAGGGCUGGGUGAGCCAAACGGGGCCGGCUCUGAGCCGAACGGCCUGCGGGGUUGUUCGCUCUGAAGCCUAAUGACGGCCCUGGCGUUUGCUGUGCGGCAGCACCCCUGCCUGCCUUUGGGACCUGCGGGCCGCUAGAAACCCCGGGGCCAGGGCUGGCGGGGCAGUGAGGCUGCGGGCCAGAGGGGCGAGGGGGUUCCUCCCCACAGCUCACCUACUGGGGCGAAGGCCCUUCGCUCCCUGGGCACCCAGCACCCUGCUGGGGUGACCCAGCCUCGGGGUGCUGUGCCGAUGUGCUUCCCAAAACGGGGACCCCACCGGGACAGCCUCACCCCGGCCACCAAGGCGGUGCAGCAGCCGGCACCGUUGUCACUAGGCCCCAGGGUGAACGGGUGCCAGGCCGGGCGCAGCCUCCCGGGGAGGGGGCCCCGGGCCGAGCUGGGGGAGACGUGCCGGGGGCGAGGCGCCGGUGACGAUGCCGCGGGCCCUGUCCCCGCAGCCUACGCCCCGCUGCAGCCGCCCCAGUUCCUGCAGCAGCCGCCGAAGCCGAUGCAGCAGCAGUUCGUCAUCCAGCAGCAGCAGCAGCAGCAGCAGCUGGCGCCCCGCGGGCAGCCCCCCCCGGGGCCAGCCGCCCCCCAGCUCCAGCCGCUGCCCCCUGCCAGCCCCGGCCCGGUCCCCCCGCCCAAAGCAGGGGCCGGCCCGGGGGUCCCCCACGGGGCGGGGGCCGAUGGCGCCGCCCCCAACGGGCACCCCGGCUGCCACGGGGCCCCCCGCAAGUUCCAGCACGCCUCCGCUGUCAUCCUGCAGCUGCAGCCCGCCGGGGCCCUGACGCUGUCCCCGCCGCAGCCCCCGCUCAGCGUCCCCGAGGGCACCCGCCGGGACCCGCCGCCCGCCGAGAGGAGCGCCGAGAGCCCGCCCGCCGCCCCGCCGCAGCCCCCCGCCCUCUCGCCGCCCGCCGCCCCCCCGGGCCCCGAGGCCCCCCCGGGCGAGCGGCCCCCCGCUCACGGUAAGCGCCGGGGGGGGAACUGAGGCACGGGGGGGCGGGGCCGGCACCGGGGCCGCGGGGGGGCUGCGAGGCGAGACCCGAGGGCGCGGGGCUGGGGAUGCCCCGCCCCUCCUCGCAGCCCCGCCCCCUCAUUUACAUAGCCACGCCCAUCGCCCGC